rnacentral:lncRNA from 1 species
GAAAAUAUGUUAAUAGAUAUUGGAAGUUAUACUGUCAUUCUGAGGGUCUUUUGGAGAUGGGAAUGAGGCUUUGAGCCUGUGUUUCUGAAGCAUUAUAAAAGCAUUGUAAAAAGAUACUAAAUUUAGUGUUGUGUGCCAAUUUAACAAUAGUUAAAUGUUAGACUAAACUCAUAUUCUCACUGCUAGUGUUCAUAGGGCCUUCCUCUUCUGAGAGAUUUAUUCUUCCUUAAGGAGAAAGUGUUAGUAGUUUUUUUCUAAAUGAAAGGAAACAGCAAUUUAUUUGUAUAAAACAAAAUAAUGUCACAUUUGUAUUUGCAUUAGCCACAAUAGCAGAUAGUCCAUAAAUCUAUGUACUACAAGCAUUAUAAAAUGACUAGAAAGAUUUGUUAGUAGCAUGCCACAUUUCACAGGUUGCGGUAAAUAUAAAAGCAACUUAAUAGUUAGUAACAUAUUCUACUGUAAUAUUAGUAUUACUAAAUCAUACUUUAAUACCAAAAGUUUAUAAAUUUGUAAGAGUUUAAUGAACAGCUGGGUAAUCCCGC